GUCAAGCACAGUUAAUUAUAUUUACUAGAAGUCUCUCACCUCUCAUACUCAUGCACCUUAAUCAUACACACAGUGGAAAUCUAUAAAGGCCUAGAAUAAAAGGAGUGUGUUUAAAUGCUGCCUUUAGGACAGACAAGAAGAUACAUCUGAUAUUUUUAAAAUAAGAUAUGCAGUGGACCAGAGGGUGGAAUGUAAUGGUGCUCAUCAGUGUGUAAUGAAGCAUAUUUGAAGAGCUGACUUCCUGAAUUGUUAUGGAGAAGGUGUCAGAUAAGGCACUACAGUUAAUUUCAACUAUUGGCAGUAAACAACUCCAAUGUGAGGACUAUUAAGCUGCAAUCAUUUUAAGAAAGCUUCCAGGGUGACAGAGCCUAUGGUGCCAGCAACUCAUUGAAAAGACUGAAGCCACAAAUACUAAGAUAGCACAACGGAGAUCCAUGGAUUAAUGAGAUAUAAUCAUGCAGUUCAGAGGAACAAAACUUCAUAGCCUGUUUUACUGGAUGUGAUUUUGUUAAGUGUGCCAUUAAAUUUGAAAGAAAGGCAUUAGCUAGUCUUUGUCCCUGUAUCUACGUGUUUCUGAAUUAAAAAUAAAGAACAUACUCAGUUGUAAACUCUCA
ensembl:lncRNA